UGUUAAUGUAGUAGUGAGCGCAUACUUUUUCACUAAUACCAAUGUCAAUCCAUCUUUGGUGACAGUUGGAUGUAAACAUUCCAAGACCAGUGCCAACAGAAAUCGCUCGGAGUGUCCGGAGAAGUGGAACGUAGCAGCGCAGAAGGAAAAGAUCCCGGAGACGGUAGUCUGUUAAAGUGUGAUAGUAAUGAAGAGGAUGAAGACGAUUUCGCUGCAUUCGACGAGGACAUUAUCCAUAGUGGAAAUGGAGGUUGAGGCUCGCCCAGAAAAAACAUCAAAAAUUCAUUGUGGUUACCUCCUCGAAGCCACUGCUACCAAUCGGAUCACCAAUCCCAUCGGUGGGGCGCGAUUCUGCUGUUGCGCCAGGAGUAGGGACAGUAACAGGGACGGCAACAGUAACACAAAAGCAGGAAAACAUCGAAAUGGAAUUCGGUUUGAUGGACUUCGGGGCUUUACCGGCGGUUGAAAGUGGCGCUGAAAUUAGUGAACUAAGCGGAAAGACAACGUUGGCGAUGACUGCUGCCAAUUAUUCCAAAUCUUGAUAGCAACAGCAAAAAUAAGGGUAAAAUGUAUUAUAUUACGCCAUCCGGGAAGAAAUUGCGCACUCCACUACUCUGCAUUCAUCGCCACGGCAUUGACGCUAUGGGAUAUGGAACUGCAUAUCGAUCAGUGUAAUUGUAAUUUUUAUUAGGAACGAUAACCGGAUAGCCUACGAUCGAGACAGAAAAGAAAACUAGCAGCAGAAGCCAAUGCACUCAACAACCCCACCGCCCCAGCGGCAUUCCACCCAUAAGCAGAGUAAUCAUUUGGUGAACCACUCGUAACCAUCACCCCUAGUACGCUUAACCGGGUAAGCCCCCACAUGGCAAGGCGUCCUGAGCUAAGGAGUCCUGAUGCCGCCGCAGCCGAAAAGCUAUCCAUCGCCGUACGUGUCAUCGUACAAUUCGCAGACCAUGAUGUAAACGCAACUACCGAUGCAUCCGGGAAAGCUUAGCCGUCACCACACCAUUUGUAGAUGAACCCGAUAUAGCCACCAUCAAGUAACAAUAGUAGCAGCAUAUGAUGGUCCAGUAGCAGCAGAUUGGAAUGUCACAGCAGCAAGAAAAUCACUACCUUACCAUGAACGGAAUGAUGAAUACGGACAUUACCCUACCGCAAUCACACUACAUGAAUCAACAGAUGUCACACAAUCAGCAACACCUUCAGGUUUCUGACUAUCCGACGCAGCAGCAGUAACAACCAAGUGGUCACAUGACUCCCUAUCAGGUUGCUUUGCCGCUCUCCGGCAGCCCACCGCGGCAGAACGUCCCUCCCCAGCAAUGUAUACGGCAAGGAUGACAAAACCUGGGGAUCGUUAGUUCCGAGUGAGUGGUAAGAUGAGUACUGCAGUAACGAAUGCGUCAUCACACACUCCCGGGAUGUAUUCGUAGGCCGUUUUAUCACUCAAAGAUGAACUAUAAACCAGGUAUUGUGAUAUAAAAAAAGUAUUUACUGUCGCAUUUGUACAAGGCGUACAAUUUGGAGAAUUUGAAACGCAUGAUUUGGACAUAAUUGGAUAGCAAGUUGAUUGUGAACUAUUUGUAUGAGGAUGGGGGAAUUUGAAUCAGGUGUUGUUGGCCUAGUAAAACAAUUAACCAAAUAGCAGAAUAUUUUGAAAAACUGAGAGCGUCUAAUUCGAACUCGGUAACUUUUUUCGGGUCGGUCACUAAAAGACUAUUCUUUAGAAGCCCAGUCACUUAUGACGCUUUUUCAAUAUAAACCAGGAUUUUCUACCUUACAUCGUUGAGAUAUUGAUAAAAGAAACUUCUCAUUCAUGAAUCUGGGGGCGAUGCCCACGUACCUAAAGCCUUUCCAACGCUGCGUGUAUGUGGUGUUUUUUUGUUGGGGCGUAGAACCACUGCAUCCAUGGAGUUGAACUUUUGUGUUUUUGUGUUUCGUGCACGUGGUGUUUAAAGGACACUGCGUUCACGGGGCUUAGAAAACUGCUACGUGAGCAUCGGCCCUUAGUGCUUCUGUGCCCUGUGACCUGCUUGAAAGCUUUUAUCGUGGUCGAUAGCCCGCUAUCACCUUAACAUGUGGACAAGUUAGAGGUUGAUCAAUUUCCCGUAUUUAUUUUGAAGGUAAGCAAACAAACUAGGUUAAGAAAAACGAAGUCAAAACACAUGUUAUUUAUCGAUUUAAAAAAUUAUUUAUUGUAAAUAUUUUGUUAGAAACAUUUUACAGAUAAAUUUGAAUAUUUAGCUUUUUUUUGUGUUGCAAUUCAUGAAACGUAUAACUAUACUUGCUCAUUUUUCUUCUUUUUUUGAAAUUCAAUCUUUGACUUCCAUUUAAAAUAUAAAAUACAUGUAUCUGCAUUUUUGCUUCGUUAACAGUAAUAUUAAAUGCAUUUGUCCAUUUGGUUGGAAAUGUUUUCUACUGAUCUGUUUGUAAGAUAAUGACAUCGGGCCAAAGACUUCAACGACGCCCUCACCGUGUUCAUUCGACAUAGUUGAAAUCAACAAUUGCAGAAGAAUUCUAUAGACAGAGAAAAAAAUAUUUUAAAGAAUAGUGUACAGCGCAUUGACAAAAUGUCCCUACUUGAAGUACCAUAAUAAUAUCAAGUCGACCAUUAGUUGAAAA